rnacentral:rRNA from 1 species
GCUUGCUUGUUGGGGUUGUAGGACACUCUAUACGGAGUUACAAAGGACGACAUUAGACGAAUCAUCUGGAAAGAUGAAUCAAAGAAGGUAAUAAUCCUGUAGUCGAAAAUGUUGUCUCUCUUGAGUGGAUCCUGAGUACGACGGAGCACGUGAAAUUCCGUCGGAAUCUGGGAGGACCAUCUCCUAAGGCUAAAUACUCUCUAGUGACCGAUAGUGAACCAGUACCGUGAGGGAAAGGUGAAAAGCACCCCGGAAGGGGAGUGAAAUAGAACCUGAAACCGUGUGCUUACAAGUAGUCAGAGCCCGUUAAUGGGUGAUGGCGUGCCUUUUGUAGAAUGAACCGGCGAGUUACGAUUUGAUGCAAGGUUAAGCAGUAAAUGUGGAGCCGUAGCGAAAGCGAGUCUGAAUAGGGCGUUUAGUAUUUGGUCGUAGACCCGAAACCAGGUGAUCUACCCUUGGUCAGGUUGAAGUUCAGGUAACACUGAAUGGAGGACCGAACCGACUUACGUUGAAAAGUGAGCGGAUGAACUGAGGGUAGCGGAGAAAUUCCAAUCGAACCUGGAGAUAGCUGGUUCUCUCCGAAAUAGCUUUAGGGCUAGCCUCAAGUGAUGAUUAUUGGAGGUAGAGCACUGUUUGGACGAGGGGCCCCUCUCGGGUUACCGAAUUCAGACAAACUCCGAAUGCCAAUUAAUUUAACUUGGGAGUCAGAACAUGGGUGAUAAGGUCCGUGUUCGAAAGGGAAACAGCCCAGACCACCAGCUAAGGUCCCAAAAUAUAUGUUAAGUGGAAAAGGAUGUGGCGUUGCCCAGACAACUAGGAUGUUGGCUUAGAAGCAGCCAUCAUUUAAAGAGUGCGUAAUAGCUCACUAGUCGAGUGACACUGCGCCGAAAAUGUACCGGGGCUAAACAUAUUACCGAAGCUGUGGAUUGUCCUUUGGACAAUGGUAGGAGAGCGUUCUAAGGGCGUUGAAGCAUGAUCGUAAGGACAUGUGGAGCGCUUAGAAGUGAGAAUGCCGGUGUGAGUAGCGAAAGACGGGUGAGAAUCCCGUCCACCGAUUGACUAAGGUUUCCAGAGGAAGGCUCGUCCGCUCUGGGUUAGUCGGGUCCUAAGCUGAGGCCGACAGGCGUAGGCGAUGGAUAACAGGUUGAUAUUCCUGUACCACCUAUAA